rnacentral:rRNA from 1 species
GAUAUCUCGGCUCUCGCAUCGAUGAAGAACGUAGCGAAAUGCGAUACCUGGUGUGAAUUGUAGAAUCCCGCGAACCAUCGAGUUUUUGAACGCAAGUUGCGCCCGAGGCCUUCCGGCCGAGGGCACGUCUGCCUGGGCGUCACGCCAAAAGACACUCCCCCCCCAUCGGGGAGGGGGAUGCGGCAUGUGGCCCCCCGUCUCGCAAGGGGCGGUGGGCCGAAGAUAUGGCUGCCGGCGUAUCGUGCCGGACACAGCACAAGGUGGGCGUUCUGUCUAAUCUUAUCGCAGUGUAUCAGGUGCGUAGCCGGCAGAAUGGGCCUCUAAAGACCCUUUGAACGAUGUGCAUGUCGCUCGGACCGCGACCCCAGGUCAGGCGGGACUACCCGCUGAAUUUAAGCAUAUAAAUAAGCGGAGGAGAAGAAACUUACAAGGAUUCCCCUAGUAACGGCGAGCGA